CGCAGGAGCACUUCCUGUUUGCCCUGAACCCCUCCGUUACUCUAGAAAGUUCGAUUCGUCGAAGCUGGCGGCCGUGAGUCAGUCUCAGGAAGGCUGACUACACUGGAAGCAGCAAUCAGGGGAGAUGAUGGACUGCCUGGUGGUAUUAUCGCUGAUCUGUUAUAAUCCAGAAACCCAGCUUUGGGUUUGGAUCCUGGGAGCUUGGCCUGGAUCCUGUGAAGAGAGAAAGAGAGACCGACUGAAGAGAGAUGGAGCUUCCUCUGGUCUGCUCCCGGCUAUCGAGGCCUAACUGGCAUGGACUCAGCAACUCGCACAGGAGAACAUCUGGGGCUGGGGUUUGUGAGCAAACGUGUUUGUCUGUUGUACAGUGGGAGAGGGGUCAGGGGGAUUGGACAGUCAGGAGGAGACAGCGUCAGUGGGAGAGGGUUAGUGAGGA